rnacentral:rRNA from 1 species
CCAGACUCCUACGGGAGGCAGCAGUGGGGGAUAUUGCACAAUGGGGGAAACCCUGAUGCAGCGACGCCGCGUGAGGGAAGACGGUUUUCGGAUUGUAAACCUCUGUCUUUGGGGACGAAUUGAGACGGUACCCAAGGAGGAAGCUCCGGCUAACUACGUGCCAGCAGCCGCGGUAAUACGUAGGGAGCAAGCGUUGUCCGGAAUUACUGGGUGUAAAGGGAGCGUAGGCGGGAUAGUAAGUUGAUUGUUAAAACUAUCGGCUCAACUGGUAGAUGCGAUCAAAACUGCAAUUCUUGAGUGAAGUAGAGGCAGGCGGAAUUCCUAGUGUAGCGGUGAAAUGCGUAGAUAUUAGGAGGAACACCAGUGGCGAAGGCGGCCUGCUGGGCUUUAACUGACGCUGAGGCUCGAAAGUGUGGGUAGCAAACAGGAUUAGAUACCCCGGUA